GGUAAAUCUCAUCUGUAGAAUAUGGGCAAUGGUUCUGCUGCCCAGCUGGGUGGCUGUUCAGCUCUGUAGCCACGGUGAACAGAUACAUAUCACCAUUUUGCUGUUGUGGAGCCUGAAGAUCGAAUGGGGUGUACAAAUGUGUACACACGCCCCUCUGAAACUGUGAGAGGUAUAUUGAGCCCUCUAGUGCUUCCAGAGUUUCCAGAAUGCAAAUGCCUACCCCACCAUAAGAAGCAGAGAGAAGCCAGGAAGAGUGUGACUGCAGGGAGCUGAACUCAAAGAAAGAUUCUCAUCAUUACUGAAAGAAAUGGCUUCGAGAAGGGCAAGAGGAAAACAGCAGAGGGAGGAGGCUGAGCGGAGUUGCUGCCAGGAGAGCGUCCAAAGUGAUGGCAGCUGACGCGAGAGCUGUAUUUCAGGAUCUUUCACCCACUUGCACAUUUGUCACUUGGAGAUGCUAACAAAGGCCCACAGUGGAGAUCUGCUGUCUUGCCAUUGAGCCUCUCUAUGAAGGCAUGGCAAUUAAACAAAAAAGCCAGAAGCAUGAGAAACCAAACAACAGGAGGCUGACUGUAUGGUGGAGGUCAGUGCACAUUAGUGAACUCACUUGAUGCCAUUCCAGAACAUUCUCAUUUUCCUCUUGGCAUAGAGCUUACUCUGAGGAUCCCCAUUAUCUGGGACAGCAGCAACCAUCAGUAUCUGCCCUGCUUGGCCUCUACUGUCAGGGACCUGUUCUGUUCAAGUAAUGAUGAUAAACUCACUCAACAAGUUCCAGAGGCUGUAAAUAAUGGACCCAGUGGCCCUUCUUCAGAUGACAGUGAACCGAAGCAGCACUUUCGAGUCUCCUUUACAAGAAACAAGGGGUGUCACAGGAUGACUGAUGAAGAUAAUUUGGACCAAUGACCAAAGGUCACUAUGCUAUUAUCUGGCAGUGCCAGCCUCAAUGUCUGUCUUAAAGCCAUGCUAAACAGUACAUCAGACCAGACUUAGAAGGUUUUCUCAGCGUGGCUUGUCCAUUCAAAGCUUCCCACAGAAAGAGCCUUAAUGGACAGAUUCUUCUGGUAUCACAGGAGCCUGGAAGAGACCAUAGAAACCAACCCUUCAAUACCUGUUUCUCUAGCAAUCAAGGCAAAGAUGCUGUCUGCUUAGCAGAUGAGGGUCCUGCAUGGCAGAAUUGCCUGUGGCAUCUCCUUUGCUGUGCCCAAGCUCAGAAGCAAAAUGGCUUUGAGGUUAUAGGCAUCUGUUACAAAGUUCAACCAAUGUGGAUUAUUUUUCUCUUGAUUUUUUUUUUUUUGAUAGAAGAGAUCCAAUCAUUUUGGUCUGCUUUGCAGGGAGUGAGAGGAAGGUAAGCUUUGGGUGUGAAUAUGUGUGAG
rnacentral:lncRNA from 1 species